GACGAACGCUGGCGGCGUGCCUAAUACAUGCAAGUCGAACGAACCGCGACUGAGUGCUUGCACUUGGUCAAGGUGAGUGGCGAACGGGUGAGUAACACGUGGGUAACCUACCUCAUAGUGGGGGAUAACAGUCGGAAACGACUGCUAAUACCGCAUAGGACAUAGGAUCACAUGAUCCAGUGAGGAAAGGUGGCGCAAGCUAUCGCUAAGAGAUGGGCCCGCGGUGCAUUAGCUAGUUGGUAGGGUAAAGGCCUACCAAGGCGAUGAUGCAUAGCCGACCUGAGAGGGUGAUCGGCCACAUUGGGACUGAGACACGGCCCAAACUCCUACGGGAGGCAGCAGUAGGGAAUCUUCCGCAAUGGACGCAAGUCUGACGGAGCAACGCCGCGUGAGUGAAGAAGGUCUUCGGAUCGUAAAGCUCUGUUGUUAGAGAAGAACAGCGCAUAGAGUAACUGCUAUGCGUGUGACGGUAUCUAACCAGAAAGCCACGGCUAACUACGUG
rnacentral:rRNA from 1 species